rnacentral:rRNA from 1 species
UACGGAGGGGACUAGCGUUGUUCGGAAUUACUGGGCGUAAAGCGCACGUAGGCGGUUUUGCAAGUCAGGGGUGAAAUCCCGGGGCUCAACCUCGGAACUGCCUUUGAUACUGCAAAUCUCGAGUCCGGAAGAGGUGAGUGGAAUUCCUAGUGUAGAGGUGAAAUUCGUAGAUAUUGGGAAGAACACCGGUGGCGAAGGCGGCGACCUGGUCCAUUACUGACGCUGAGGCGCGACAGCGUGGGGAGCAAACAGG